GGCAGGGAUCCCUUUCCAGUCUGCUAACUGGAUUCACAGAAAAUCUCUAUCUGCAAGCCUCUUCUAACAGACACCCAACACAAAGGAUGAAGUUGUAAGAAGUGGCCUCAGUUGGACCUCCUUCAACUGUACCCCCCUCUCCAAUCUGUACUCUUGAGUUGUCCAAGCUGAUGACCAUGGACUGGAUCACCAAGGCUUUCCAUCCUCUGGCUUGUUCAUCUCUGUUCCUGGACAAGUAGUCAAGACGCCACCUGGAGGGGUAACAUAUCAAACCUGAGAGAGCCUCUAGAGGCCCACUAGUUCUUUCCUUCACAAUAAAUCCAAGAACCACUGAAGAAACAUGCCUUACUCAAAGUCACACAGGUCCUCUGUUCCAGAGAAUAUCUCUUCUGGUUAUUAUCAAAGAACAGAGAACAGCAGAGCUGUCCCCUUCCUUUCUUCCUAUGACAUUCACUUCCUAAGACGAAUGCUCUUCUCUGAAUGUCACAUUAUUGUCUCAUUCAUUAAAAUCAUCCUUCCAGUAAUGUCCCAGGGUCCCAUACAGCAGCACUGUCGAACUGGCAGCAUCUUCACUCCUCCUGGCAGGAAACUCU